rnacentral:rRNA from 1 species
GACGAACGCUGGCGGCGUGCUUAACACAUGCAAGUCGAACGGUAAGGCCCUUCGGGGUACACGAGUGGCGAACGGGUGAGUAACACGUGGGUGAUCUGCCCUGCACUUCGGGAUAGGCCUGGGAAACUGGGUCUAAUACCGGAUAGGACUCCGGACUGCAUGGUCUGGGGUGGAAGGCUUUUGCGGUGUGGGAGGGGCCCGCGGCCUAUCAGGUUGUUGGUGGGGUGAUGGCCUACCAAGGCGACGACGGGUAGCCGGCCUGAGAGGGUGACCGGCCAUACUGGGACUGAGAUACGGCCCAGACUCCUACGGGAGGCAGCAGUGGGGAAUAUUGCACAAUGGGCGCAAGCCUGAUGCAGCGACGCCGCGUGAGGGAUGACGGCCUUCGGGUUGUAAACCUCUUUCAGCAUCGACGAAGCGAAAGUGACGGUAGGUGCAGAAGAAGGACCGGCCAACUACGUGCCAGCAGCCGCCGUAA